rnacentral:rRNA from 1 species
AUGAAGGACGUUACUAACGACGAUAUGCUUUGGGGAGCUGUAAGUAAGCUUUGAUCCAGAGAUUUCCGAAUGGGGAAACCCAGCAUGAGUUAUGUCAUGUUAUCGAUAUGUGAAUACAUAGCAUAUCAGAAGGCACACCCGGAGAACUGAAACAUCUUAGUACCCGGAGGAAGAGAAAGAAAAUUCGAUUCCCUUAGUAGCGGCGAGCGAAACGGGAAGAGCCCAAACCAACAAGCUUGCUUGUUGGGGUUGUAGGACACUCUAUACGGAGUUACAAAGGACGACAUUAGACGAAUCAUCUGGAAAGAUGAAUCAAAGAAGGUAAUAAUCCUGUAGUCGAAAAUGUUGUCUCUCUUGAGUGGAUCCUGAGUACGACGGAGCACGUGAAAUUCCGUCGGAAUCUGGGAGGACCAUCUCCUAAGGCUAAAUACUCUCUAGUGACCGAUAGUGAACCAGUACCGUGAGGGAAAGGUGAAAAGCACCCCGGAAGGGGAGUGAAAUAGAACCUGAAACCGUGUGCUUACAAGUAGUCAGAGCCCGUUAAUGGGUGAUGGCGUGCCUUUUGUAGAAUGAACCGGCGAGUUACGAUUUGAUGCAAGGUUAAGCAGUAAAUGUGGAGCCGUAGCGAAAGCAAGUCUGAAUAGGGCGUUUAGUAUUUGGUCGUAGACCCGAAACCAGGUGAUCUACCCUUGGUCAGGUUGAAGUUCAGGUAACACUGAAUGGAGGACCGAACCGACUUACGUUGAAAAGUGAGCGGAUGAACUGAGGGUAGCGGAGAAAUUCCAAUCGAACCUGGAGAUAGCUGGUUCUCUCCGAAAUAGCUUUAGGGCUAGCCUCAAGUGAUGAUUAUUGGAGGUAGAGCACUGUUUGGACGAGGGGCCCCUCUCGGGUUACCGAAUUCAGACAAACUCCGAAUGCCAAUUAAUUUAACUUGGGAGUCAGAACAUGGGUGAUAAGGUCCGUGUUCGAAAGGGAAACAGCCCAGACCACCAGCUAAGGUCCCAAAAUAUAUGUUAAGUGGAAAAGGAUGUGGCGUUGCCCAGACAACUAGGAUGUUGGCUUAGAAGCAGCCAUCAUUUAAAGAGUGCGUAAUAGCUCACUAGUCGAGUGACACUGCGCCGAAAAUGUACCGGGGCUAAACAUAUUACCGAAGCUGUGGAUUGUCCUUUGGACAAUGGUAGGAGAGCGUUCUAAGGGCGUUGAAGCAUGAUCGUAAGGACAUGUGGAGCGCUUAGAAGUGAGAAUGCCGGUGUGAGUAGCGAAAGACGGGUGAGAAUCCCGUCCACCGAUUGACUAAGGUUUCCAGAGGAAGGCUCGUCCGCUCUGGGUUAGUCGGGUCCUAAGCUGAGGCCGACAGGCGUAGGCGAUGGAUAACAGGUUGAUAUUCCUGUACCACCUAUAAUCGUUUUAAUCGAUGGGGGACGCAGUAGGAUAGGCGAAGCGUGCGAUUGGAUUGCACGUCUAAGCAGUAAGGCUGAGUAUUAGGCAAAUCCGGUACUCGUUAAGGCUGAGCUGUGAUGGGGAGAAGACAUUGAGUCUUCGAGUCGUUGAUUUCACACUGCCGAGAAAAGCCUCUAGAUAGAAAAUAGGUGCCCGUACCGCAAACCGACACAGGUAGUCAAGAUGAGAAUUCUAAGGUGAGCGAGCGAACUCUCGUUAAGGAACUCGGCAAAAUGACCCCGUAACUUCGGGAGAAGGGGUGCUCUUUAGGGUUAACGCCCAGAAGAGCCGCAGUGAAUAGGCCCAAGCGACUGUUUAUCAAAAACACAGGUCUCUGCUAAACCGUAAGGUGAUGUAUAGGGGCUGACGCCUGCCCGGUGCUGGAAGGUUAAGAGGAGUGGUUAGCUUCUGCGAAGCUACGAAUCGAAGCCCCAGUAAACGGCGGCCGUAACUAUAACGGUCCUAAGGUAGCGAAAUUCCUUGUCGGGUAAGUUCCGACCCGCACGAAAGGCGUAACGAUUUGGGCACUGUCUCAACGAGAGACUCGGUGAAAUCAUAGUACCUGUGAAGAUGCAGGUUACCCGCGACAGGACGGAAAGACCCCGUGGAGCUUUACUGUAGCCUGAUAUUGAAAUUCGGCACAGCUUGUACAGGAUAGGUAGGAGCCUUUGAAACGUGAGCGCUAGCUUACGUGGAGGCGCUGGUGGGAUACUACCCUAGCUGUGUUGGCUUUCUAACCCGCACCACUUAUCGUGGUGGGAGACAGUGUCAGGCGGGCAGUUUGACUGGGGCGGUCGCCUCCUAAAAGGUAACGGAGGCGCUCAAAGGUUCCCUCAGAAUGGUUGGAAAUCAUUCAUAGAGUGUAAAGGCAUAAGGGAGCUUGACUGCGAGACCUACAAGUCGAGCAGGGUCGAAAGACGGACUUAGUGAUCCGGUGGUUCCGCAUGGAAGGGCCAUCGCUCAACGGAUAAAAGCUACCCCGGGGAUAACAGGCUUAUCUCCCCCAAGAGUUCACAUCGACGGGGAGGUUUGGCACCUCGAUGUCGGCUCAUCGCAUCCUGGGGCUGUAGUCGGUCCCAAGGGUUGGGCUGUUCGCCCAUUAAAGCGGUACGCGAGCUGGGUUCAGAACGUCGUGAGACAGUUCGGUCCCUAUCCGUCGUGGGCGUAGGAAAUUUGAGAGGAGCUGUCCUUAGUACGAGAGGACCGGGAUGGACAUACCUCUGGUGUACCAGUUGUCGUGCCAACGGCAUAGCUGGGUAGCUAUGUGUGGACGGGAUAAGUGCUGAAAGCAUCUAAGCAUGAAGCCCCCCUCAAGAUGAGAUUUCCCAACUUCGGUUAUAAGAUCCCUCAAAGAUGAUGAGGUUAAUAGGUUCGAGGUGGAAGCAUGGUGACAUGUGGAGCUGACGAAUACUAAUCGAUCGAAGACUUAAUCA